rnacentral:misc_RNA from 1 species
UUAACUAUUAUAUAGUACUCAGACAUUACUAAAAUUCAGAGUUGGAUCCUCUGGCGGGCACAUGCAGGCAGAGCCCACAGUGGAGGCCACGGCCCGCCAAAGCAACAAGAGUAUGUAGACACGGGUGGGAUUCACUCGGCCCCUAGCCUGAAGGCUAGGGCAUCAGUAUUCCGCGCGACUGGCAAUGCUGUGAGUUUAAGACAGCCCCACAGGGUCGAGUCAACGACGUCGCUGGGAUACACCGGUGAUCGUUUUUAAUGAUCCUUCCGCAGGUUCACCUACGGAAA